rnacentral:rRNA from 1 species
ACAGCCGCCGCGGUAAUACGUAGGGUGCGAGCGUUAAUCGGAAUUACUGGGCGUAAAGCGUGCGCAGGCGGUUUUGUAAGCCAGAUGUGAAAUCCCCGGGCUUAACCUGGGAACUGCAUUUGGGACUGCAAGGCUAGAGUACGGCAGAGGGGGGUAGAAUUCCUGGUGUAGCAGUGAAAUGCGUAGAUAUCAGGAGGAAUACCGAUGGCGAAGGCAGCCCCCUGGGUCGAUACUGACGCUCAUGCACGAAAGCGUGGGGAGCAAACAGGAUUAGAUACCCUGGUAGUCCACGCCCUAAACGAUGUCAACUAGUUGUUGGGAGCCUUACCGCUCUUAGUAACGCAGCUAACGCGUGAAGUUGACCGCCUGGGGAGUACGGUCGCAAGAUUAAAACUUAAAGGAAUUGGCGGGGGAC